AUGGACAAGUUGCUACACGCGAGAAAGCAGCGGAAGAUCAAGGAUUGGGCCAAGCAUCACAGCAAGUAUGUCGUGCAGUUCGCUCUUAGUCUGGAGCAAGCAAGGGCUGGAAAACGAGCCCAGCUUCGUGAGCACUGCCCGAUCGCGUUCAACAACUAUCUCACAUGGUUUCUUGCAAGUACCCGCGUGGAGGUAUGCCAGCCGGCGUAUGCUGAGGAGAUUCUGGAAGAACCCACCGUUUUUGAUGAGCGUGCCCAGAUCAAGAAAGCAGCUGAUGAGACCGAGACUAUUCUAGAAACUACCCCGUCUGGCAAAAGCGAUGGGGAAGGUGCACUUCGAGCAUUCAUUAAGCGCCAGGGCCAAAAGUUAAGGCGGCUAUCAAACCUUUUCGGUUGUCGUGACCCCGAGUAUGUAUCACCAGAACGGUCUAGGUCGGCGACACCAUCAGAUCCCGCUUCGGGGCAGGGCCAUGGUGAACCUUUCGAGGAUGAGGAUGUGGGUGUGGUCACCCAAGAGGUUGCUGAUGAUGUGACCUUGGGGACGUACCAGGCUCGGUCUGCAUACGAGUUGAAGCCUAGGAAGGGAAUCAACAAGUACACACCUGAAGACUUCACCCAAAGAGGCCAAAGAGGCAAAAGGACGGUCGACACCUCGCGGAUGGCGGCUUUGGAUGACUAUGUAGAUGACAUGGAGGAACCGGAGCCGGAGCCAGAGCGGGUUCCUCUUCCUUGGAAGGUGAAGAAGAUAAGCGUCAAGAGGGGGGGGGGGAGGAGCCAGCAAGCGCGGAAAGCACUAGUCAUCGUCCUUUAUUUAUAA
rnacentral:rRNA from 1 species